CAGGUUUAAAUCACCUCUUCUUUACUUUGUUCUCUGAUUAGGACUCCUAGCAAAAUAACAGUGUCAAGACAUAUGGUCACCAAGAGACAUCAGCACCCAAAGGCUUGUGAAUGUGACUGUGUUGGGGGGAGGGGUGAUCUUUCUUACAGCUACCUCUCUGAUCUCAGGAGAACUUGAAUCCACCUCGAUAUAUGUGACCAGAUACCUAAGAUCCACCCUUUUUCUCCUAUUCUGACUGACCUUGGGAUCCCGGUUAUCCUCUACAAUUGAGCUGUUGCAAGAGAACCAGAAAGAAAUUUCUUUUUCCCUGAAAUGGCCCAAUGCUGAAUUUCUCCAGAUUGACUAACACCAACACCAAGAGGAUAGUAUGGUUUUAAAACAAAUCCAGGUCUAGUUAGGAUUGAAUCUAAUUGGACUCUAGAUUGGACUUGGUUUCUUAUAGCCAUCUAAUAUCUUCCUUGGAGCUAUCCCCAAAAUACAAGGCUCCUGUGGAAUGGGGAGUCUCAGUAUGACCGUAGCAGAAACAAAUUGCCACAGGCUUCUUAGUCUGGCAUGCCCAAACCUCUCCAAAGACAAUGGGGAGGAAACAAGUUUCAGAGUGCUUCAUGCCCCAUGGAAAUUAUAACUAUGUUUUCAAAUAUGAUAGUUACUAACCACAUAUGACUCUUAAAAUUAAAUUUUGAAUUAAUUAAAAUAAUUCAGUGCCUCAGUCACAUGAAGAGACUUUUAAUGUGCUCCUAACCAUAUGUCCAUGUAUAUCACAGAUAUAACACAUUUCUACUAGCACAGAAAGUUCUAGCAGAUAUUCAUAGACUCCAGUAUUUCAUUGAAGUAUGGUUUUGCUCUACCUAUGUGAGCAUUCAUAUUUGUGGUUAUUUUAACAAUACACAUCUUUCUCUCUCAUUUUGCCUUUAAUAAGUAAUAUAUUAACCAAGGGUGCAUUCAGGAGAGGUAGGAUUAUAUCUUGAUAAGAGUACUACUUGGUUUCUGAAGCCAAAAGCCAAGUGGUAUCUUAGUGUUUCCAAUAGUCAUGUGUUGACUGGUUGAGUAAAUGGCCUAUUUUCUAUAGCUGCUUAUCACCUUAUAUUUCCCCUUCUGAAACACUCCCAGGUUUACAGAUACACUUAGCAAUCAUCCUAACUAAACUGUGAGCCUUAUGAAUGUAAUCGCUGCUUCUCUCCAUUUUAUCAUUGUAGCCUCACCAUCCAGCACUGUGCCUGGGUGAUGAUUAUUGUAUAAUAAAUAUUUGUUAAAUGAGUGAGUGAAUAAAUGUUGACUUUCUAUGUGUCAUUCACUCAUGA
rnacentral:lncRNA from 1 species